rnacentral:rRNA from 1 species
AUUGAACGCUGGCGGCAGGCUUAACACAUGCAAGUCGAGCGGGGGAAGGUAGCUUGCUACCGGGCCUAGCGGCGGACGGGUGAGUAAUGCUUAGGAAUCUGCCUAUUAGUGGGGGACAACAUCUCGAAAGGGAUGCUAAUACCGCAUACGUCCUACGGGAGAAAGCAGGGGAUCUUCGGACCUUGCGCUAAUAGGUGAGCCUAAGUCGGAUUAGAUAGUUGGUGGGGUAAAGGCCUACCAAGGCGACGAUCUGUAGCGGGUCUGAGAGGAUGAUCCGCCACACUGGGACUGAGACACGGCCCAGACUCCUACGGGAGGCAGCAGUGGGGAAUAUUGGACAAUGGGGGGAACCCUGAUCCAGCCAUGCCGCGUGUGUGAAGAAGGCCUUAUGGUUGUAAAGCACUUUAAGCGAGGAGGAGGCUACUUUAGUUAAUACCUGGAGAUAGUGGACGUUACUCGCAGAAUAAGCACCGGCUAACUCCGUGCCAGCCGCCGCAGUAA